GCUGGGCAUGGUGGCAAAUGCCUAUAAUGCCAGCUAGUAGGGAGUCUGGGUUGGCAGAUCAUUUGAGCUCUGGAAUUCUGAGGUGAAGUAAGGUAUACUGAUGGCAUGUCUACAUUAAGUUUAGCAUCAAUAAAGUGAACCCCUGUGAGUGGAGGGCAACCAGGUAGCCUAAGGAAGGUUGAACCAGUCCAGAUCAGAAAUGAAGCAGAUCAAAGUUCUCAAGGCAAUCAGGAAGGGGACUGGGCCCAUAAGUAGCCUGGGCCAGAUAGAGACACAAA
rnacentral:SRP_RNA from 1 species